UACAGAGGGGGCAAGCGUUGUUCGGAAUUACUGGGCGUAAAGGGCGCGUAGGCGGCCUGCUAAGUCGAACGUGAAAUCCCCGGGCUCAACCCGGGAACUGCGUCCGAGACUGGCAGGCUCGAAUCCGGGAGAGGGAUGUGGAAUUCCAGGUGUAGCGGUGAAAUGCGUAGAUAUCUGGAGGAACAUCGGUGGCGGAGGCGGCAUCCUGGACCGGUAUUGACGCUGAGGCGCGAAAGCCAGGGGAGCAAACGGG
rnacentral:rRNA from 1 species